rnacentral:rRNA from 1 species
CCUACGGGAGGCAGCAGUGAGGAAUAUUGGUCAAUGGGCUCGAGCCUGAACCAGCCAAGUAGCGUGAAGGAUGACUGCCCUACGGGUUGUAAACUUCUUUUAUAAGGGAGUAAAGUGAGGCACGUGUGCCUUUUUGUAUGUACUUUAUGAAUAAGGAUCGGCUAACUCCGUUCCAGCAGCCGCGGUAAUUCGGAGGAUCUGAGCGUUGUCCGGGUUUCUUGGGGUUAUAGGGAGCGGAGAUGGGUUGUUAAGUCAGUUGUGAAAGUCGGCGGUCCAACCGUAAAAUUGCAAUUGAAACUGGCAGUCCUGAGUACAGUUGAGGUAGGCGGAAUGCGUGGUGUAGCGGUGAAAUGCAUAGAUAUCACGAAGAACUCCGAUUGCGAAGGCAGCUUACUAAACUGCCACUGACAUUGAUGCUCGAAAGUGUGGGUAUCAAACAGGAUUAGAUACCCUAGUAGUC